CCGGACGCCUCUGGCAGGACUAACCCCGGGGCUUUUAUGUCCAACGUGCUGUGCUGUGUGUGCCUGCAGCAUCCUGUCCAAGACAAAGCUACCUUUCUUUCCUCGUGGGAAUGGACUGGCCGGGCUUUGGCAAUCUGGCCCCUCGAAAGUCUUAAGUGACCUCUUCCAGCAGGGGAAGACUGAAGCAAGGGGUGCCAGAAAGAACUGGAGUUUCUGGAGAAUAAAAGCUGGAAGCGUGCCCCCGAAAAUCCCCCCGGGUGGUCAGUGGUCUGACUUGCACGGACCGGUGGCCUUGGCCAGGAGCGGUCCUGCGGGAAGUGCCUUUGCCCAGCCUGUAAUUUUAAUUUCCAUUGGUUGCUUGGCAAAGCCCCUUAGUGCCUGGCAGGAGCAGAGCGGGCUUCCAGGGAGGUAUUCAGCUGGUCAGCGUCAGGAACCAUCCUAACUGAGGCCUCGGUGAGUGACGAAGCUUAUGGAAAAAAAGACCAAAGGCCUCGAGGGAUGUUCUUCUUGAUCCCCCGGGGCAAAGGGAGGUGUCAGCGUCAGGAGCCAUCCUAACUGGGGCCCUGGUAGGUGGUUGGUGUUUCUGCAGUGUUUGGCACAGGACUGGGGGAGAUUUUUACCCAGCUUUCUAAAGCUGUAGAUGAGUAGGAGAGACUGAAUGCACUCCC